rnacentral:lncRNA from 1 species
CUCUAAAUUUUCUUACAGAUGCGUUCAUAAAUAUUAUCAUUGUAGCCACUUUUACAACAAGUGGCUUGUCGUUUGAUUUCAUUAUUUUUGCAUUAUGUUUGUCGCUGAAAUAAUGUGACCUUUAUACCAUGUCCGUCAUUUGGUUCGCAAAUACAACAUCCUACAGGCUUAUACCCAGUUUUACAUUUGGGGUAACACAAUGCGCCGUUUUUGUCUUCGUCAUUACGACACUUUUGCUUUGUGCAAGAGUUUUUACUACACCUGUCCGCCAUUUGCUACACAUGUACAUCAUCCACUUCUAUGGUAUCCAUCUUUGCAUUUUGGAUAACAAAGACGUCCAGUCAUCUUUUCGUUCGUUCUACAUCUUUGUCUUUGGAAGAGUGUCAAAUUUAUUUCUAUAUUUUUUUCUGCAGGUGCUUCCAUCGUCAUGGUAACCACUCUUACACUUGGUACAACAUCCCCAUAAUGUGCAACAGCAUCCCUUUCCAUAUAUGUGGGCAUCACUCCAACAACUAGUACCGUCAUCUCGCAUUUCAGAUGGACAUGGUGUUUUUUCUGGCAAUCGAACCGCACCUCUCCCGUACAUAUGUAUCCAACAGCUUAACCAAUCGCCACGUGUGUUAGAAGACACUUUUCUUUAUCCGGAACACGACCUGCACCUCUUCCAUAUCAAUCUUUCCAACAACCAUAAUCACGCAUGCCAGCGGGACAAGGCCGUUUAUCAGCAGAUCUAGGUUUUCUUUGAGUUUCUUU